UGAAUACGAGACGCUAAGGCGUCGAAGUAGUGUAUAUCAUACUUCCAAGAAAAGCUUGCACUGUCAUAGAUAAAAAACGCCUGUACCAUAACCGACACAGGUGGGUAGGUAGAGUAUACUAAGGGGCGCGAGAUAACUCUCUCUAAGGAACUCGGCAAAAUAACUCCGUAACUUCGGGAGAAGGAGUGCCUUAUUCGUAAGGUUGCAAUAACAAGAUCCAAGCAACUGUUUAUCAAAAACACAGGUCUCCGCUAAGUCGUAAGACGAUGUAUGGGGGCUGACGCCUGCCCAGUGCCAGAAGGUUAAAGAAGUUGGUUAGCAAUUGCGAAGCUGAUAACUGAAGCCCUGGUGAACGGCGGCCGUAACUAUAACGGUCCUAAGGUAGCGAAAUUCCUUGUCGGGUAAGUUCCGACCCGCACGAAAGGCGUAAUGAUUUGGAUACUGUCUCGGAGAGGGGCUCGGUGAAAUAGACUUGUCUGUGAAGAUGCGGACUACCUGCACCAGGACAGAAAGACCCUAUGAAGCUUUACUGUAACUUGAAAUUGAAAUUGGACUUUAUUCGCGCAGUAUAGGUGGGAGGCGUUGAUUAUAAUCUUGUGGGAUUAUUGGAGCCAUCAGUGAGAUACCACUCUUGUAAUGUUAGAUUUCUAACUUUGAAUCAUUAUCUGGUCAAAGAACAGUUUCAGGCGGGCAGUUUGACUGGGGCGGUCGCCUCCUAAACGGUAACGGAGGCGUACAAAGGUUUCCUCUGAACGGUUAGAAAUCGUAUCUAGAGUGUAAAGGCAUAAGGAAGCUUGACUGUGAGACCUACAAGUCGAGCAGGGACGAAAGUCGGUCUUAGUGAUCUGACGGUACUGAGUGGAAAGGCCGUCACUCAACGGAUAAAAGUUACUCUAAGGAUAACAGGCUGAUCUCCCCCAAGAGUUCACAUCGACGGGGAGGUUUGGCACCUCGAUGUCGGCUCAUCGCAUCCUGGGGCGGUAGUACGUCCCAAGGGUUGGGCUGUUCGCCCAUGAAAGCGGUACGCGAGCUGGGUUCAGAACGUCGUGAGACAGUUCGGUCCAUAUCCGGUGUAGGCGUUAGAAUAUUGAGAGGAGCCUUCUUUAGUACGAGAGGACCGAGAAGGACAUACCUCUGGUGUACCAGUUAUCGUGCCAACGGUAAACGCUGGGUAGCUAUGUAUGGAGUGAAUAACCGCUGAAAGCAUCUAAGUGGGAAGCCCACCUCAAGAUAAGUAUUC
rnacentral:rRNA from 1 species